AUGGAGGCCGCCCGCCCGGUCGCCCUGGGGCACUGCCCUGCCACCCCGGCCAGGUCUCAGCUGGGGGCACCGUCCAGACUGGUCCGCCCAUCGGGUCCGCCAGCACAGCGUGGGGAGAGGGAGGGCCCCCCUCUGAGCCCUGGCCUCCUUGGCCGCGUCGCACCAUACUGCCCUCAAGCCUCGUUUGCCCCAUUUCACAGAUGGAGAAACGGAGGCCCAGAGAGGUCAAGAGACCUGCCCGGGUCACACAGGAAGUGUGCCCCCACCGCCAGGCCGCUCCCCGCCCCAGCUGGCAGGCACCCUCCCAGGCUGGGCUCCCGCGCGGUCCACUGUCGACAUUACAGCCGCUUCAGGAAAGACAGUAGGUUGUAUAGUUAUUCCACAGCCGGGCGGAGCCCCAACUAUACAACCUACUACCUCACCCCAAAGGGCCGCCAGUCUCGGCGCCUGGAGAGACGUCGUGGCUUCCGAAGGCACCUCCUGGCGGGGGGGGGGAGGAGAAGAGCUGGGGGCCGGGAUGCUAAGGGCUUGGCUCAGGCAGGCGGCCAGCAGAGGGCCAGGGGGGAGCCCCACGGGGAAGACCACCCAGCAGGGAGGGAAGAGAGGCGGGGGGGGGGCAGACGUGCGACGUGGCCUUUGGGGAAGCGACACAAGCAGUGGGAUCACUCCCAUCUGCACGGGGGGGGCCAAGACGGCCCCAAGGUGACACUGGGGGACGUCAUUUGCUGCAGGCCAAUUUGUGUCCCAAAGGGGCUCCAGUGCCCGCCUGGCCCUGCCCGCUGGCAGCAGCCUCCCCCGGUUCCUGGUGGCCCGGGAUGCACCUGUGCCCCAGGUGCAGCUCCCUCCCCCGCUGGACAGUGGGGCCUCCCUGCCCGUGGGCCUGGCCCUGCCAUCCAGGGUGACCCGGGCUUCUCCCCACAUCAGGACAGGCUGGAGUGCUGUUCUUUCCUCCCCAAAGGGACCCCGGCUCCCAGGAAAGGGUGGCUGGGCCGGAACUGCAGCCCCUCGGGGGACAGACACACGCGGCCCAGGGCCCGUGCCUGA
rnacentral:lncRNA from 1 species